AGGAAUUGGCGGGGGAGCACCGCAACGGGAGGAGCGUGCGGUUCAAUUGGAUUCAACGCCGGAAAACUCACCGGAGGCGACGGAGGGAUGAAAGCCAGGCUGAAGACCUUGCCCGAUUCUCCGAGAGGUGGUGCAUGGCCGUCGUCAGUUCGUACCGUAAGGCGUUCUGUUAAGUCAGAUAACGAACGAGACCCUCGCCUUCAGUCGCUACUUCGGUCGCGAGGCCGAGGGCACACUGGGGGGAUCGCUGCCGCUAAGGCAGAGGAAGGAGAGGUCUACGGUAGGUCCGUAUGCCCCGAAUCUUCCGGGCAACACGCGCGCUACAAAGGACGGGACAAUGGGAUCCGACCCCGAAAGGGGAAGGCAAUCCUGAAACCCGUUCGUAGUCUGGAUCGAGGGCUGUAACUCGCCCUCGUGAAAAUGGAUUCCGUAGUAAUCGCGGGUCAACAUCCCGCGGUGAAUGUGCCCCUGCUCUUUGCACACACCGCCCGUC
rnacentral:rRNA from 1 species